rnacentral:other from 1 species
AAACCCCUUGUAUGGUUGCAUUGUUUUGAUCCUACAAAGUUUUUGAAUAGGGAGUUCUGUCUCCAAAGCGCAGUGCCGUACGUCUGAUGUGAAUCAGUAAACGAAAAUCUGUGCGGGGGAACACCCACCUGGUGAACGUACCAGGGUUCAAAACCUCAACUGUGCAGGGGGUUUU